CACUCUUCUUCUUCGAUGCCGUUAACACAUUCCCCGCCGCAGACCAAGCUGGGGAAGAGGGAAGGGGGAAGAUAAAGAGGGAUCCCAGGGUUGGGCAAACGCGCGGAGGCUCGCGUUUCCGCGGUGGCCGGCGGCAAAGCCUAUGGACUUGGGCUUGAGCAAGACGGAGUCUACCUCACGGCGACGGCGACCGGGCUACCGAAGCUGCCUCGCGCACACCCUCGAUGAGCUCCAUUUCCUCGAGCACCUUCACUCAUCCUCUGGGGUGGACCCAUUGAUGUCAGAGCUCAGCUCCUGUGGACUGAUGGAUCUUACAAGGGAUCCAAUUUGAAGUGAAGAGGAUCCUACCGUCUAGAUAAAGGAAUAUUAGGACAUUUGCGAGGUUGACAGAAACACUGUCAGGACCAAGAUGACAGAUUCCUGAAGAAGAGCUUUUUUAUUCCAACAAGGCUGAAGUGAUUCGAUUUGGCCAUAAGCGAUGGGUAUCGCAAUCACGAGAAACAACACCGCUAGUGAGCUGAGGCGGGGAUGGCCACCGACAAGCGGCGUGGUUUGCAGUGCGUCCAACACAAUACAAUACGAC